rnacentral:lncRNA from 13 species
AACAUAUAAUUUCAUAUAUUUUAAAGCACUGUUGUAGGUUACUUUGAGACAUUUCAGAAAUCCUUUGAAGAAGAAAAAGUUUGAAUUAUAAACUUGGAUGAUUCCUCCUAAACAUCAGUGUUCCAGUUAUUGUGGGGUGUGUCUGGGUCCCUUCUGUAGCUCUCACAAAUAUUUUACAUUUAACAGGAGGAAGAUUUAAAAAUAACUGACAAAUCAGAUGAAUAGAAAUCAUCAACAAUGUGUCCUGAACAACCCCGGUUACCCAGGGUCAUGUUAACUACAGAGCUCUUCUGGUGCCUGAAGUCAUUGUAUGAGCACAGUUGUGCUGAUCUGGAUCCUGCCCCAAGGCCAUCCUUGGAUUAGAAGACCAGCUUCCUGGAUGUCAUGGCUAAUGGCCAGGUAAAGUAUUAUUUAUACUUCCCUUCACGUAUUUUGAAGUCAAUGCUUACAGAUGCUUUGCUUUAGCUUUGACCUUCGUUAAGUUAUCAGGAACACUGAAUGAGCCAUAUGAUGUUUUAAUUUUUUCAUAUGCAAUUCUGUUUACUGCACAGUUAUGCUGAGUGAAGGUAAAGGAGUUACCAUUCCAAGACCAACAUGAUAUUCUUUGUAUUUACUCUGCUACUUCAAAGGGAAGAAAGAAAAAUGUCAUUACCAUAACAAUGUGGAGUUCAUGUAUCACAACUAUAAUAGAACUCUAUUAACUUGCUGGCUACUGAGUCUUGGCAAUUUAAAUGUA